rnacentral:rRNA from 1 species
CCGCGUGAGUGAAGAAGGCCUUCGGGUUGUAAAGCUCUUUUGUCAGGGAAGAAACGGUGAGAGCUAAUAUCCCUUGCUAAUGACGGUACCUGAAGAAUAAGCACCGGCUAACUACGUGCCAGCAGCCGCGGUAAUACGUAGGGUGCAAGCGUUAAUCGGAAUUACUGGGCGUAAAGCGUGCGCAGGCGGUUUUGUAAGUCUGAUGUGAAAUCCCCCGGGCUCAACCUGGGAAUUGCAUUGGAGACUGCAAGGCUAGAAUCUGGCAGAGGGGGGUAGAAUUCCACGUGUAGCAGUGAAAUGCGUAGAUAUGUGGAGGAACACCGAUGGCGAAGGCAGCCCCCUGGGUCAAGAUUGACGCUCAUGCACGAAAGCGUGGGGAGCAAACAGGAUUAGAUACCCUGGUAGCCCACGCCCUAAACGAUGUCUACUAGUUGUCGGGUCUUAAUUGACUUGGUAACGCAGCUAACGCGUGAAGUAGACCGCCUGGGGAGUACGGUCGCAAGAUUA